rnacentral:rRNA from 1 species
GGUAGUCCACGCCGUAAACGAUGUCGACUUGGAGGUUGUGCCCUUGAGGCGUGGCUUCCGGAGCUAACGCGUUAAGUCGACCGCCUGGGGAGUACGGCCGCAAGGUUAAAACUCAAAUGAAUUGACGGGGGCCCGCACAAGCGGUGGAGCAUGUGGUUUAAUUCGAUGCAACGCGAAGAACCUUACCUACUCUUGACAUCCAGAGAACUUAGCAGAGAUGCUUUGGUGCCUUCGGGAACUCUGAGACAGGUGCUGCAUGGCUGUCGUCAGCUCGUGUUGUGAAAUGUUGGGUUAAGUCCCGCAACGAGCGCAACCCUUAUCCUUUGUUGCCUGCGGUUAGGCCGGGAACUCAAAGGAGGCUGCCAGUGAUAAACUGGAGGAAGGUGGGGAUGACGUCAAGUCAUCAUGGCCCUUACGAGUAGGGCUACACACGUGCUACAAUGGCGCAUACAAAGAGAAGCGACCUCGCGAGAGCAAGCGGACCUCAUAAAGUGCGUCGUAGUCCGGAUUGGAGUCUGCAACUCGACUCCAUGAAGUCGGAAUCGCUAGUAAUCGUAGAUCAGAAUGCUACGGUGAAUACGUUCCCGGGCCUUGUACACACCGCCCGUCACACCAUGGGAGUGGGUUGCAAAAGAAGUAGGUAGCUUAACCUUCGGGAGGGCGCUUACCACUUUGUGAUUCAUGACUGGGGUGAAGUCGUAACAAGGUAACCGUAGGGGAACCUGC